rnacentral:rRNA from 1 species
AGUCGAGCGGAUUAAAUUGGAGCUUGCUCCAAUUUAGUUAGCGGCGGACGGGUGAGUAACACGUGGGCAAUCUGCCCGUAAGACUGGGAUAACUCCGGGAAACCGGGGCUAAUACCGGAUAAUCCCGACUCUCUCCUGAGAGUCGGUUGAAAGAUGGUUUCGGCUAUCACUUACGGAUGAGCCCGCGGCGCAUUAGCUAGUUGGUGAGGUAAUGGCUCACCAAGGCGACGAUGCGUAACCGACCUGAGAGGGUGAUCGGCCACCCUGGAACUGACACACUGUCCAUACUCCUA